CUGCAGCCCGAGUAGUGAUCGUUAUUAUUGGGCCUAAAACGUCCGUAGCCUGUUUGGUAAAUGCUUGGGUAAAUCGUGUGGCUUAACCAUACGAAUACCGGGUAGACUGCCAGACUUGAGACCGGGAGAGGUUGGAGGUACUCCUGGGGUAGAGGUGAAAUUCUGUAAUCCUGGGGGGACCACCAGUGGCGAAGGCGUCCAACCAGAACGGGUCUGACGGUAAGGGACGAAGCCCUGGGGCGCGAACCGGAUUAGAGACCCGAGUAGUCC
rnacentral:rRNA from 1 species